rnacentral:lncRNA from 1 species
UGAGGCCCGAUUUGAUUUUCUCAUUUUUUUCACUGCUAAGGGCUAGUGAUCUCAUCUUGAACUUCUAUUAUCAAAGCUUUGAUUUGAAUGAAGGAUUACAAUAUUGACCUAGUGAUAUUCUGAAGUCCUCACCUGAGAAGUGGUCAUAAUUGGCAUUAGAUGGACGUUCGAGGAAGUAAUUUAAGACUGAGGUUUUGUUCUUUAUAUAUUGUUUUGCAAGUCUAGCUGAUCAUUGUUUUAUUUUUUUCUUUUUUUCUUGUCUUUAUUAGAUAUGCAGGAUUGGUUUCAGCUUGUUAUCUCUUGUUAUCCCGUAAGUAAAAAGGCUGAAGAAGCAAAGGAACUACAGAGGCAUGUGAGCAAUGAAGAGAGAACACUCCUGCUUGACUUGUUCCGCAAGCAGAAGCAAGAUCCUGUUGCAUCAAGUGUAGUUACCCAACUUCCAGCUGUCCAAAUUCUGCUCGCUAGACUAAUUGUUAUCGCAGUUAGUUACUGUGGAAACGAUUUUAAUGAGGAUGACUGGGAUUUUGUCUUUUCUAAUUUGAAGCGUCUGAUUCAGUCUGCAGUGGUUGUGAUGGAGGAAACUUCUGAGAACGUCAAUGACUUCAUUAGUGGCGUUUCUUCUGUGGAGAAGGAGAAUGAUACUCUUGAGGGACUUGGGCAUAUUGUGUUUAUUUCUGAUCCUUCUAUAAGCAAUGCUCAGAAUGCUCUCUCAGCAUUUUCGUUGCUUAAUGCUUUAGUAAAGCAUAAAUCGACUGAAGGUGAAGACAAUCUGAAAUCCUUGGCAGAUGAAACAUGGGAUCCGGUUAAGGAUCGGAUACUUGAAGGUGUUCUACGUCUUUUCUUUUGCACCGGUCUUGCUGAGGCUAUUGCUGCUUCAUAUUCCGCAGAGGCAGCAUUGAUUGUUGCUUCAUUUCGAGUUGAUCAUUUGCAAUUCUGGGAGUUGGUGGCUCAAAUUGUGGUAGACUCUUCUCCACGUGCCAGAGAUAGAGCUGUCAGAGCAGUGGAAUUUUGGGGUCUAAGCAAGGGAGCCAUAAGCUCUUUGUAUGCAAUGAUGUACUCUUCCAAUCCAAUCCCGUCAUUGCAACUUGCUGCAUACAUUGUUUUGUCUACCGAGCCUAUUUCCAGGCUGGCCAUAGUUGCUGAUGGGAAUGCACCACUGAAUGAUGAGUCUCUCAAUGACCAGGACUCAAUCAAUACUGGUUUGCCAUCUGAAGAGAAGCUACGGUUAAGAGAUGAAGUAUCUUGUAUGGUUGAGAAGUUAAAUAAUGAACUUCUUGAUACGGAUUUAACUGCACCAGAAAGGGUAAAUUUCUUUCAAAAACUCUAUUUGGUUUAUUUUCCCUCUUUGGCAAGUCAUUCACUGUUUGAUCACUUCUAAUGGCAGGUGCAAACGUUCCUGGCAUGGUCUUUGUUGCUCUCGCAUGUUAACUCUCUUCCUUCACUAACACAAGGACGAGAGAGACUGGUGCAGUAUAUAGAGAAAACUGCAAAUCCGUUGAUAUUAGAUAGUCUUUUUCAGCACAUACCUCUAGAAUUAUACAUGGCACAUAGCUUGAAAAAAAAAGAUGGGGAUAUUCCGUCUGAGUUAUCUGUUGUAGCUUCUGCAGCCACUCAUGCGAUUAUGACAGGCUCUUCCCUGUCAACGGUUGAAUCACUUUGGCCUAUUGAAACUGGAAAGAUGGCUUCGCUUGCUGGGGCGAUAUAUGGUCUGAUGCUACGCGUCCUUCCAGCUUAUGUUAGAGAAUGGUUUAGCGAAAUGCGAGACCGUUCUACAUCAUCUCUGAUUGAAGCAUUUACAAGAUCGUGGUGCAGCCCUACUUUAAUCAAGAAUGAACUGUCUCAGGUAUGUGCAGUUAAGAUUUUCUCAUCGAUGAGAGUUGCAGUGAAGAUUAACUAACGCAUUUGCAAAUAUUCUGGUCAUUGUUUAUGUGAGCCGCAGAUAAAGAAGGCAGACUUUAAUGAUGAGAGCUUUUCAGUCAGCAUAAGUAAAGCGGCAAACGAAGUAGUUGCUACAUAUACGAAGGAUGAAACAGGGAUGGAUCUCGUGAUCCGGCUUCCAGUUUCUUACCCACUAAGGCCUGUUGACGUUAAUUGCACAAAAAGUAUUGGAAUAAGCGAUGCAAAGCAGAGGAAGUGGUUGAUGUCCAUGCAGCUGUUUGUUCGUAAUCAGGUACUGUACUUUAUGAGUCAUGUAGAUCUUUGUUAACCUGAAUGAUAUGCAGUCCCAUCAUAUAGACCAAUAAUACAAGGUGGCAGAAAAAGUUGGUAGAUUAAUCUUGUUCCCUCCAUCUAAAGCCCAUAUCAACAUAGUUCAAUCGAGUGCAUGACUUGGCUGAAUGUUUUCUUUUCUUUUUUGAUAUGUUACUGAAAGCAGAAUGGGGCCCUGGCGGAGGCGAUAAGGAUAUGGAAGCGAAACUCGGAUAAAGAGUUUGAAGGAGUAGAGGACUGCCCGAUAUGUUACAGUGUGAUACACACAGCGAAUCAUAGCCUUCCAAGGCGGGCUUGCGUGACGUGCAAGUACAAGUUUCACAAAGCAUGUUUAGACAAGUGGUUCUACACGUCUAGUAAGAAACUCUGCCCCUUGUGCCAAUCUCCUUGCUAAUCCAAUAAACGGAGCUGAGGAUGCAUUUUGUGACAUUAGUCUGGGAGUUUUGCUUUAACCCUAACAUUCUCCUUAGUAUUUGCUUUCCAAGAAAUGAAAAGGGUUUACGGAACGUAGGUGGUACUUAUAUGUGAUAUACGUAAACAUGUGUGAGUUGUCUUUACUAAUAACUCAAUUCAAUUAUAUGUGGUGUGGAAGAUCAUAUGAAAAGAAAGUAAUAAAUAGAGAAAUUUACUUGUCGCUCUCUCUCUCUGUUUGCCUUUGGCUCAAUCGCUGUUCUGGCUUUGAGUGCACGCAUGGAUUGUCUCUUCCGGCAGACUCGUCACUCAACUCACCCUAUUGCUCUUCAAUACUCUCCACUCGACCAUACUUAUAUGUAAAGGCCUAGGUACUCGGACACAUUUGACAAAUACAAACUGAAAAAAAAAAAAUAUGUAAAGCCUCUCACGCCC